rnacentral:rRNA from 1 species
UGGGGAAUAUUGCACAAUGGGGGAAACCCUGAUGCAGCGACGCCGCGUGAGCGAAGAAGGCUUUCGAGUCGUAAAGCUCUGUCCUAUGAGAAGAUAAUGACGGUAUCAUAGGAGGAAGCCCUGGCUAAAUACGUGCCAGCAGCCGCGGUAAUACGUAUGGGGCGAGCGUUGUCCGGAAUUAUUGGGCGUAAAGGGUACGUAGGCGGUUUUUUAAGUCAGGUGUCAAAGCGUGGAGCUUAACUCCAUUAAGCACUUGAAACUGAAAGACUUGAGUGAAGGAGAGGAAAGUGGAAUUCCUAGUGUAGCGGUGAAAUGCGUAGAUAUUAGGAGGAAUACCGGUGGCGAAGGCGACUUUCUGGACGAAAACUGACGCUGAGGCGCGAAAGCGUGGGGAGCAAACAGG